UUCAAGAAUUUUCUUUUAUAUCUUUGCAUUUUCCCCUCGAAAAGAGCGCAACGCAUACUUUCACUACUUUUCUAAUACAAUUUUUGACUUUCGACUACACAAUUUUCAAUUUCGUUGGCUUUGUGCGCUCAUGCCGUUUGGCAUUCGUGUUUGUCCGAUCCCGUCGAAAGGCACGUUUCCUGGGCCUACCACUAAAUGACUUCGGUUGCUUGGAUUGAUUUUAAGCCAGUCGACCUGGAGUUAACGUUGCACCUACAAUAACAACAACAAUAUCACGAAUUAUCGUCGUCACUCACCCAUAACGGAUGAACGCUCACUAAAGCAAAAUUCUAAUCACCAACGAGCUUCAUAAUUGACGACCAGAGUUUACAACUGGCAAAAACACAACUUGAAUUAACCAAUAACGAGUACCAUUCAUGGAGCGUAUCAACCGAGCGCAUCAAGCACACACACAAAGGCUCUCAAACUGUUGAAAAUUAGAUAAGAAAUGACAGCCAAAAAGGCCAACAAGCAAAGAGGACAACCGAAGCCAAACCAGCGACCAGCAACAACAACCACGUAGCAUUUACACAACUUUUGCGCUUCAAUGCCAUUAUGCAGCAUCGUUAUUAAGCCACAACAGACUCUCCUUCUAUUCUUUAUGAUUCUUUAACUUCGUCCCAACAACACAGUUCCAUCAUCAACGUUUUUAAUUAAUUUUUGAAAUGUCAAGCAAGCAAGGAAGUCGCAGUGAAAUCUUAAACCAGCAGAACAGCGAAAGGAAUGCAUGCACACAAAUACAUAUAAUAUAAGUAGAUAUGAGUUAUACAAACAGACAGAAGCAGCUCUGAAAAGCCACAUAAUCACUUCGACUGUGACAUAGAGAAAGUAAUGAAUACCGCAAAAUUGUAACGGUGAUAUUAACAAUGCAGGAAUUAUGAUCGGUAUGGUAUGAAAGGCUGUUGGCUACGAAUUUGGGUGAGGAAACGAAAAUGAGUCAUUUGUAACCUUGGUCUCCUCGAGAAAAGCCCCUCAAGAGAUUUUAUUGAAACCUCGCAAUAAUUUUUUCAGUAAUUUCUGGAAGGUAUUCUCUGCGUUUUUUGAAGACAGCCCUCACAAAUAAAGAGCUGCUGAUAACU